AGAGAAGUUUUUUAGUAAACGAAGUGAAUUGAAAUAUCUUAGUAACUUCAGGAAAAGAAAUCAAAAGAGAUUCUAUGAUUAGCGUGAGUGAAAAUAGAGUAGCCUACUAACAUUAAGUAAAAUGGUUAAAAAACUGUUUGAAUUAAAUGGGGAACCUUCCUCAAAGGCUAAAUAUAAUACAUAAGCGACAGUGAAAAGUAUCAUGAGAGAAAGAUUGUAAUUAGUAGUUUUAUAAGCAGUUCGAGCCAAAUAAAUAAGUGAGAACGUACCUUUUGCAUAAUGGGUCACCUAGUUAACAUUAGAUGCGAGUGAAAGCGUAGGUAAACCAAUCGUUAAAAUAACGAAUAGUGUCUAAAGUUAGACCCGAAGCCUGGUGAUUUUACCAUAAUCAGGAUUAUAAAAGUCCGAACGGGUUAUCGUUGUAAAGAUAUCCGAGGAAUUAUGGUAGGUAGUGAAAGACAACACUGACUAGGAUAGCUGGUUUUCUGCGAAACCUAUAACAGUAGGCAAUUUGAGUAACAUCUUAGCAGGUACAGAAUUUAAUCUCAGACAAGAUGUUUAAAUUUUAGUGGUUAUAGCCAUUAAAACAACAUGUUGAUUUGUAUAUAUCGGGGGAUCGUGAAGAUUUUAUCGGUGAGUAUGUAGACUCGGAAUGGCAAAGAUGGAUCUUGAAUUAUCGGACAUAGAAUGAUAAGGUUGUAUGUCAAAAGGGAAACAGCCCAGAACAAGAGUUAAGGUUCCAAAAUUAUUAGUUAAGUGAAAUUAAGAAGGUUUUUAUUAAAGUCGACAAGGAGAUGGGCUUAGAAGCAGCCAAAUUUUGAAGACCUCGUAACAGAGCGCUUGUUAAGUUUUAAAAGCAUCGAAAAUUUAACGGAUCUAAACAAUAUACCGAAACCUUGUCCAUAUUUUACUAUAUAUAUUUAUUGUAUAGUAAUUUUGUGGGGUAGCAGAACGUUGAAUUAAAUUAAGAUAUUUCUUCAGCGAAGAAAUAUAUGAUAAUCAAUUCAAGUGAGAAUGGUGACAUGAGUAACGAAUAAGAAGGAAGGUUCCCGCCCGAUUCCCCCUCUUAGUUAAAUAAUCUUAGUUAAGAUUAUUUAACUAUUAGGCGAGCUGGGAAUUCACAUCCUCCGCCUAAAGCUUAUGGAUUAGCAAGGAGCUUGAAAGUAACGGCCUCUAAGUAAUAGACCUAAAGGUUUAAACGAUGAGAAAAUCUAAAUUACUAAAUGACAACAUUUUGGUCCCCCUCCUUUUUCUCCCCUCCUACCUCCUCAAUUAAUUGAGGAGGAGGGAGGGGAGUCGAGGAGGUGCUAGGGGGAAUAAGUGAAAAGUGUUCUGGAAAAAAUAGUAAUAAUGAUAUUUUUAUUUAUUAAAUACAACAAACUAAAACAGAUGAGUUUAAAGAUAUAAAUAUUAUACCGUACCUAGAAUCUGAAACAAGUAAGCUAGUAGAGAAUACGAAGGCGUAAAUGAGCUAACAAUCAUAAAGGAACUCGGCAAAUUAACUACCGUAACUUCGGGAUAAGGAGGGCUCAUUAGUCCUGAUGAAUAUCGGGUAAAAAGGAAGAAGCAUAAAAUAAUGUUGUACGACUGUUUAAUUAAAACAAAGCACUCCGCAAAAAGAUUAAAAAUCGAUGUAUUGAGUGUGAUGUCUGCCCGAUCCCGGCUGGUUAACGGAUUUAACUAAAUUAUUAAAAAAUUUGGUGUUGAAGGAACCCCCGGUUAAUGGCGGCCUUAACGUGAGGGUCCUAAGGUAGCGAAAUGCCUUGGCCGUUAAAUGCGGUCUUGCAUGAAUGAUGUAACGAUACAACAGCUGUCUCUAUGAUUGACUCAGUGAAAUUGGAAUAACUGUGCAGAUACAGUUUACCUCUAGUUAGACGAGAAGACCCUAUGCAGCUUUACUGUUACUAAUUAUUGGGUAUGAUGAAUUAAUUUUCAGAUUAUAAGGUAAAUUGGUUAAUAAAAAUGAAAAUCCUUUAUUUUCGCAUCAUACUUCAGAGUCUCUUGCUUGUUGAAUACUAAUUCAGUGGGCGCUUCUGGCUUCAGUGGGCGCUUCUGGCGCCAAUACAGAAGCCCAAAUGAGAGAUAGCCUCAGUUCUGACUUUUAAGUAGCCUUAGAAAGGAAUAUAUGGUUAGGAGACAGUUUAUGUGGGGCACAGACCCCUUAAAGAGUAAAAGGGAGUGUCUAAAAAUUAUUUGUUAUAGGCACAAGCUUGGCUUCGCUUAGCUUGGCCGUAACGUUGUUUGUGGUUUUAUGUAGUUUUACUAUAUUUAAUCUUCUAAAAUUAUUUCUAUCUACCCUCGCUGUAGAUACGAAUGGAUAUUUAGGUACGUUUUUCACUAUAGUGAAAAUAGCGGUAUAAUAAAAAAUAUUAUGAAUAAAUUUUCUAAUGUUUUUUGAGUUAUUAAGAGAUUUCUUAAUAGUCAUGAUAAAUACCUGAAAAGCUCAACGGCUAAUUCGUGCCAUACUGUUUGAUUAACAACAAAUCUUACAGUUGCGUAAGCAGGGCAUAGGAUCACAAGAUGCAAAAAGGAAAGAUCUUGGAUUAUUGGAAAAGCUACGCUAGGGAUGUUUGUCCUUCAAUAUUUUAAGCUAUCUUUGGCUGCGACUACCAUCUCGCCUGCUACCGCGAACCCCAUUCCCAUAUCCCCUGUCCCCCAUUCCCCCGCGACCCCCUUUGGGGGUAGGGGAAUGGGGGACAGGGGUAUCCAUGCAUGCUUCGCCAGCCAGGCGGAAAACAAGGGGGGAGAGGGGGUAUGAAUGGAAUGGAGAUGGUAGGGACCAAGAGAGCUAAAAUUAUUGAUAAUAUAUUGGGUUAAUUUCAAGAAUUACUUAGAUAAGUAAAUUUGAAGCGAAAUUUAUCUUGGCAUAAUUAUAUAAGAUAAAAUCGUUCAACGACUAUAAGGUGAGUUAUGCUAACAAUAAUCCUUUUUAACACCCAACAUUUUUAUUACCAUACACUUAUAAAAAAAGAUAAAAAAAAAAGAUAAAAUUUAUUUACAUGAAGGCUAAAGCUUUAAAAACAAAGGUUGGCAGUUCUCCUAAUAAAAUUAGGCGGGGCAUACUUAGCGAAUCCGCCCAUAUUUUUCGUUCUAAUUUAAAUAAUAAUUUUAAAUUAACACCUUUUAAUACUAAAUUUAAUGAUAAUGGUCAUGUUAGAUACUUACCUCCUGUAUCUAAAGAAUGAAAAAAUACUAUAUAUGCAUAUUAUAAACAAAAUAUGCAAAAUUUACCUAUAGAUAGCAAAAAUGCAAAUAAAGUAUUAGAAAGUUAUUUUAAUUUACAUUUUGCCAAUAAUAGAUUUAUAGGAUCAAAAUUCAUAUCUCCAAAAACAAGAAGUUUAUUAUUACAUAAAAUUUAUGUAAGUAAAAUGGAAACAAAACAUACAAAUUCGAAAACUAUAAUAACUUUAUAUACUAUAAAUACUGAAAAAAAUAAUGUAUAUAAUAAUUAUCUAGGUUAUAAUAAAUUUUGAGAAAACCAAAUAUUAAAAUCAUUUAAAAAGGGAUUAAAGCAAAAAAUUAAGGAGGGCUUUAUUACAUAUCCUGUCCUGAACCCCAUAACCCCAUAUCCCCCUGCGGGGGAUCAGGGGUUCGAGAGCAAUGGAACGGGGGGCUUCGCCAUACUUCGUAAUGAAAAAAAACUUCUAGUUUCUAAAUAUAAAUAUUUAACUGAAUCUUUACCAUGUUUUAAUAUAUAUUUAAGAUUAUAUUUAAGUAGACAUUUUAAAAAUUCAUACCUUGAUAAAUUAGAUUUAUUAAGAAAAUACCAAUUAAACUAUUACCUUAAUAAAUUCAAAUUUGAAAAAAAUACUUAUUUACAUAAAUUAAGUAAUAUGUUAUCUAGAGUAUUUAAUAAUAAUAUAGAAUUUAAUAUAGUAAACUUAAAAUCUGUUGCUUUUAGUCCUGAUAUAUUUACUGAUAUAUUAAGUUUAAAAAUUAGAAAACCUAAUGUUUCUAAUUUUGUAGGUGUAAUGAAUAGUUUAUUAAAAGUAUCCAAAUUACCUGAAGUUAAUAGAAUACAGGAAAAGGCUAGUUUUUUUAAAUCUAAAGAUUACGCUUUACUUGAAAAUAUUUACCCAAAUUUAAAUAUAAUUUCGUGCUUACAGGUACUAAAUAAUUACGGGCUCCUGUCGGAUAGUUUAGUAAGAGAGGAUUCCGGUUGCUAUUUAAAUUUUUUAUUAGCAAAAAAAUCUUUAAUAGAUGAAGACUCUGUUUUAGGUAUUAAUCCUGAAUUUUCCUUGCCUGAAGGAUAUGAAUACUUCAGUGACUUAUACGAAAGAGAAAAAGAAGAGUAUAUAAGAAGCAAUAUCUCUAAUAAAAUAUUUAAUUCUAUUAAAUAUAAAAAUUUAGGAGGUAUAAGAUUAGAACUUAAAGGAAGAUUAACUAAACGUAAUAGAGCAGAUAGAUCUCAAUUUAAAUUUAAAUGAAAAGGAGGAUUAAAAAAUAUAGAUUCUUCUUAUAAAAAAUUACCUACAGUUACAUAUAGAGGUUAUUAUAAACCUAGUGUAAUUUCGGCUUUAUCUCAAUCCAAACGUGCUGUAGGAUCUUUUGCGGUAAAAGGUUGAAUAAGUGGAAAAUAAGUAUAUUUGAGCUAAAGAACUAUAUAAGUUAUGGGGUGCGAGCAGCCGACUUCGUCGUAGUCGAGCGACUACGACGUCGUAUGCUCGCUCUAAUAAAAAUGAAGACAUAGUCUGAACCAUUUUGUGAAAAAUGGAAAUAAAAUUUAUUAUGAUAACAUGUAGAACAGGCUAAUUUGCGCAAGAGUGUACAAAAUGAGUGCGCGGUUUGGCACCUCGAUGUCGGCUUAACUUAUCCUCAUGGAUGCAGAAACUAUGUAGGGUACGACUGUUCGUCGAUUAAAAAGUUACAUGAGCUGGGUUAAAUACGUCGUGAGACAGUAUGGUUUCUAUCUUCUAGAGGGAAUUUGAAUAAAAUAAGGAUUAACCUUUGUACGAAAGGAACAGGAAAAACUUAGCCCCUCCAUUUCCGACUACUGCGUAGCCAGGAACGAAGGCGGGAUUAAAGUUAGGUUAUAUUAAUUGUUAACCUCUGGUUUACCUGUUGUUUAUAAGCCGAAUAUUUCAUUAAGUCGGGGGUUCUCAAUAAACUAAAAAAGAUGAGAGUUCUCAUAGCUUAACCGACUUAAUUACGGGGGAGUACUCAUAACCUGAGAGAUGUCCCUACCUUAAACGCGGAUGUUACUUUCACUUAAGUAAAUAUAUAUUAUAGGCACGGCAGGAAAGCUAAGUUAGUUAAAGAUAAGUGCUGAAAGCAUAUAGGCACGAAGCUUACCUUAAGAUAUUUCUAAUUCACGUAAUAUAAUAUUACGGUAUAGUAUUAU
rnacentral:rRNA from 1 species